rnacentral:rRNA from 1 species
CCUACGGGAGGCAGCAGUGAGGAAUAUUGGUCAAUGGGCGCGAGCCUGAACCAGCCAAGUAGCGUGAAGGAUGACUGCCCUACGGGUUGAAAACUUCUUUUAUAAGGGAAUAAAGUGAGGCACGUGUGCAUUUUGGAAGGUACUUUAGGAAUAAGGAUGGGUUAACACCGUGCCAGCAGCCGCGGGAAUAGGGAGGAUCCGAGCGUUAUCGGGAUUUAUUGGGUUUAAAGGGAGCGUAGAUGGGUUGUUAGGUCAGUUGUGAAAGUUUGCGGCACAACCGUAAAAUUGCAAUUGAUACUGGCAGUCGUGAGUACAGUUGAGGUAGGCGGAAUUCGUGGUGUAGCGGUGAAAUGCUUAGAUAUCACGAAGAACUCCGAUUGCGAAGGCAGCUUACUAAACUGCCACUGACAUUGAUGCUCGAAAGUGUGGGUAUCAAACAGGAUUAGAUACCCCAGUAGUC